CUCGGAGCGUCCCGGCUUCUCCCGCGCGGGGGGCGAGUAAGCCAGCGGCAGGACCAGCGGGCGGGGGCCCACGAACACAUGCCUCACUCCUGUCAGCAGUUCCACCUUUUCAUGGUUGAGGAGCACAUGUGGUCGCCAGCCUCCCAUCUCCAGAGUCCCCUAAGGCAAGGUGACUCACCCUCCUACUUCACAGAGUUCUUGGUCCUCCCCAGACAGCCUUUGAAGGUUCCUUUCAAUCCUGCGAUUUCAUGACCUGGUUUCUAGAUCCCCAGUGGAUUAGAAAGGACUGAAGGACUUUUACAGGCUAACAGCAAGAAGAACAAAGUAACUGCAAAAUAGACGGAGAAUUCUUGAAGACGGUAGCUCUUGGUCACCAUAAGCGCUGCAGAGACCCCGAGGUCCACAUUCUGUUCAAAAGCUGGCAGGCUGACAGAGGCGGCCUCAGGACGGACCUUCUGGCUACUGACCGUUUUGCUGUGGUUUUCCCGGAUUGUGUGUAGGUGUGAGAUCAACCAUGAGUUCCGUUGCAGUUUUGACCCAAGAGAGUUUUGCUGAACACCGAAGUG
rnacentral:lncRNA from 1 species